UACGUAGGGUGCAAGCGUUAUCCGGAAUUAUUGGGCGUAAAGAGCUCGUAGGCGGUUUGUCGCGUCUGCUGUGAAAACUGGAGGCUCAACCUCCAGCCUGCAGUGGGUACGGGCAGACUAGAGUACGGUAGGGGAGAUUGGAAUUCCUGGUGUAGCGGUGGAAUGCGCAGAUAUCAGGAGGAACACCGAUGGCGAAGGCAGAUCUCUGGGCCGUAACUGACGCUGAGGAGCGAAAGCAUGGGGAGCGAACAGG
rnacentral:rRNA from 1 species